GGGAGAAUGAAUAUGGACAUCCACUGUCUAACAAAAACUAGAGAAACUUAACCAAGACAAAGAAGACAUCCUGUCGAUUUUCAUCUUGCCAUUCAUCUCAUCACAAAGAUGACCCAGAUGACAAACCCUUGGUAAGAAUCCAUGAGGAGACAAUACAGAAGAAGCCUUUACCCAUUUAUGAGUUGGCCUUAGAAAUUCUAAGGAAAGAAGGUUAUCCUCCUCCUUCUCCAGUAAAGUGUUCACCUUCUACACCACUUCCUGCCUUAUCAAUGGUUUCUCCUUACAUGAUGAUCUCACCAUCCUCUUAUGAAACGGACUUUCCACCUCUCUCUCAAUAGACAGACAAAACCUUUGGUGUCUCCCUAAGACCCUUUGUUCAACCUGCUAAGAUCACUCCUGAAGGACACCCUAGUCCUUUAACUCAAGCUGAAGAAGUUCUUAAUUGGCACACAAAAAAUGCCACCGCUCAAAACUAGACACUCCAAAGGCUUGAUUCUAAGAUUGAUCGAGUUCUGUCUCACUCACAUACCGUUGAAAAGAAGGUUGAUUCUUUCUCAAUGUAUGUUGAAAACAUAUACAAGGAUCUCCAGUCAAAGAUCUAUCAUCUUGAUAUGGAUAUC
rnacentral:misc_RNA from 1 species